ACUCCUACGGGAGGCAGCAGUGGGGAAUAUCGGACAAUGGGCGAAAGCCUGAUCCAGCCAUGCCGCGUGUGUGAAGAAGGCCUUUUGGUUGUAAAGCACUUUAAGCGAGGAGGAGGCUACUUAGAUUAAUACCCUAGGAUAGUGGACGUUACUCGCAGAAUAAGCACCGGCUAACUCUGUGCCAGCAGCCGCGGUAAU
rnacentral:rRNA from 1 species